AAAAAAUAAGGGAUUUUAAUUGCAGAAUUACAACUACUUAAUCACUCCCUUAUUACCUUCUCUCUCCUACUUCAUCACUUUAUUAUCUUAUCUCUUCUACUUUAUUAUCACUUUAUUACCUUCUGCCUCCUACUUUUUAUCACUUUAUCAAACAAGAGACAUAUAUCAAGAGUAAAACAAGAAUAACCACCAUUCAAUCACAAACCCGAAAUUCACUUCGAAAACCUUCUUCUCUUCCACAAAUUCAUAACAAAAUCGCAAGUAUCAAAGAGCAAGCUAAGCAUAAAGGGACCAAUCGCCCAAUUGAAAGCAUAAGCAAAACAAGACACCCCCCUACACUUAAAGAAAGCCAUGUCCUCAGGGCACAAAAUAAAAAGAGUUAGAAUACGUCCCUGAUCAUUGGCGAAGAAAAGCAAUAAGCAUUGUGAGGGCGGCGCAGGAAAUAGGGUUUGCGGUCUUUGGUAGAGUAGAAAUGUCAGCGCUGGUCCUUUUCAGCGUGGAAAUUCAGGGCUGGAAGUGGACUGUGCAGCGCUAGCAUUCUUAAUCACUCCCUUAUUACCUUCUCUCUCCUACUUCAUCACUUUAUUACCUUAUCUCUCCUACUUUAUUAUCACUUUAUUACCUUCUGCCUCCUACUUUUUAUCACUUUAUUACUUUUUCUCUCCUACUUUAUCACUUUUAUACUACACACUUAAAACACUAAUUUACAAUUCCUUAAAUCCCGCCGAAAAGAAAUGUAUCAUCUUGGCUGGGACGGAGGGAGUAUUUACUAGUUGCUUUUGCCUUUAUGGCAGAUGAUAAGUAUUGUACUGAACGUGAUUUAUUUUCCUUUCUAUGGUGGUUAGCUGCUUGUAGUGACGAAUCAGGGUCAUAUUUAUUUUCCUUUCUAUGGUGGUUAGUUGCUUGUAGUGACGAAUCAGGGUCAUAUUUUUCAUGAUCAAAUGCUUGGCACUUGGCAGUGAUCCAGAAUUUUCUCCGAUUGAGUUUCCAUCACUUUGGUUCUUAUCUUAUAUUUAAAGGGUUGGUAUAACCAUAACUCCUAAAUAACCAUAUUUCAGUUUUCGGACAUACAACUUAUAUUGUAACCAUAGCAAUUUUUGGUGCUCUACAGUCUCUUUUCAUGUAUUAAUUCUCCCUGGA
rnacentral:lncRNA from 1 species